AGGAGUAACAACCGCAGUGGAGGCGGCCAGCUCUGCUGUCCUGGAAUCAGCUCCCACAGUAGCUAAGGAGCUCUCAGUCUUCAGGGGCCUGGAUGCUCCGGGGGCGG
rnacentral:pre_miRNA from 1 species